GCGUGCUAUACAUGCAGUCGAGCGAACAGAUGAGAAGCUUGCUUCUCUGAUGUUAGCGGCGGACGGGUGAGUAACACGUGGGUAACCUACCUAUAAGACUGGGAUAACUCCGGGAAACCGGGGCUAAUACCGGAUAAUAUUUUGAACCGCAUGGUUCAAUAGUGAAAGACGGUUUCGGCUGUCACUUAUAGAUGGACCCGCGCCGUAUUAGCUAGUUGGUAAGGUAACGGCUUACCAAGGCGACGAUACGUAGCCGACCUGAGAGGGUGAUCGGCCACACUGGAACUGAGACACGGUCCAGACUCCUACGGGAGGCAGCAGUAGGGAAUCUUCCGCAAUGGGCGAAAGCCUGACGGAGCAACGCCGCGUGAGUGAUGAAGGUCUUCGGAUCGUAAAACUCUGUUGUUAGGGAAGAACAAAUUUGUUAGUAACUGAACAAGUCUUGACGGUACCUAACCAGAAAGCCACGGCUAACUACGUGCCAGCAGCCGCGGUAAUACGUAGGUGGCAAGCGUUAUCCGGAAUUAUUGGGCGUAAAGCGCGCGUAGGCGGUUUCUUAAGUCUGAUGUGAAAGCCCACGGCUCAACCGUGGAGGGUCAUUGGAAACUGGGAAACUUGAGUGCAGAAGAGGAGAGUGGAAUUCCAUGUGUAGCGGUGAAAUGCGCAGAGAUAUGGAGGAACACCAGUGGCGAAGGCGGCUCUCUGGUCUGUAACUGACGCUGAUGUGCGAAAGCGUGGGGAUCAAACAGGAUUAGAUACCCUGGUAGUCCACGCCGUAAACGAUGAGUGCUAAGUGUUAGGGGGUUUCCGCCCCUUAGUGCUGCAGCUAACGCAUUAAGCACUCCGCCUGGGGAGUACGACCGCAAGGUUGAAACUCAAAGGAAUUGACGGGGACCCGCACAAGCGGUGGAGCAUGUGGUUUAAUUCGAAGCAACGCGAAGAACCUUACCAAAUCUUGACAUCCUUUGACCGCUCUAGAGAUAGAGUCUUCCCCUUCGGGGGACAAAGUGACAGGUGGUGCAUGGUUGUCGUCAGCUCGUGUCGUGAGAUGUUGGGUUAAGUCCCGCAACGAGCGCAACCCUUAAGCUUAGUUGCCAUCAUUAAGUUGGGCACUCUAGGUUGACUGCCGGUGACAAACCGGAGGAAGGUGGGGAUGACGUCAAAUCAUCAUGCCCCUUAUGAUUUGGGCUACACACGUGCUACAAUGGAUAAUACAAAGGGCAGCGAAUCCGCGAGGCCAAGCAAAUCCCAUAAAAUUAUUCUCAGUUCGGAUUGUAGUCUGCAACUCGACUACAUGAAGCUGGAAUCGCUAGUAAUCGUAGAUCAGCAUGCUACGGUGAAUACGUUCCCGGGUCUUGUACACACCGCCCGUCACACCACGAGAGUUUGUAACACCCGAAGCCGGUGGAGUAACCUUUUAG
rnacentral:rRNA from 2 species